GACGAACCGUGCGAACGUUGUUCGGAAUCACUGGGCUUAAAGGGCGCGUAGGCGGAUUGCCGCGUCCGGGGUGAAAUCCUCCGGCUCAACCGGAGAAGGGCCUCGGAUACGGGCGGUCUCGAGGGAGGUAGGGGCAUCGGGAACUGUGAGUGGAGCGGUGAAAUGCGUUGAUAUUCGCAAGAACACCAGUGGCGAAGGCGGCUUUCUGGACGACAACUGACGCUGAGACGCGAAAGCGUGGGGAGCAAACAGG
rnacentral:rRNA from 1 species